UACAUGGGGUGCAAACGUUGCUCGGAAUUAUUGGGCGUAAAGCGCACGUAGGCGGUCCGUUAAGUCAGAUGUGAAAGCCCCCGGCUCAACCGGGGAAGUGCAUCUGAAACUGGCGGGCUAGAGUACGAAAGAGGGUCGCGGAAUUCCCGGUGUAGAGGUGAAAUUCGUAGAUACCGGGAGGAACACCGGUGGCGAAGGCGGCGACCUGGGUCGAUACUGACGCUGAGGUGCGAAAGCGUGGGGAGCAAACAGG
rnacentral:rRNA from 1 species